ACCUGGGCUUCCAUUUCACGAUCAGAAAGGCCACCGCAAAUCUGGAUGAUACGGUCAGACAGCGUCGACUUACCGUGGUCGAUGUGAGCGAUGAUCGAAAAGUUACGUAUAUUCUUCAUAUUUAGAGUUAAUUAUGCCUUACGAGUAUCAUGAGGCCGCUGUACUGUGCCUGACGUUUUUUAAUCCGAAAACGCCGCAUUCUACACUACAUCCGCGAAACCAGGAAAUGCUGUUAGAUCCAGCAUACCCGCAGAAAUUGUGGCGUUGUAACAGGAAAGGUAAAUAAAGAUAAGGGCCAGUGAAAUCACUGGCCCAUGUCGGAGGAAGGCGUAUCAACACGCAGCAGAUCCGGCGGCAGUGCGACGUUCAAAAUCACCGGCUGCCAGGACUGACGUGCCGCCAGUCGCGGCGACAGACCGCGCGCCACCAGGAAGCCGCCGACGCCGCCCAGCAGCGCGCCGCAAAGUGACGCAAUAUCGCUGGCAAACAGCACCUGAAAAAUAGACGCCAUUACAAACAGCCCCGCCAGCGGCGCCAUAUACACCAGCAUCGCUGAGCCCAGCAGGCUGCUUUCAGCGAUCCCCAGCUCCACUUUUUGCCCCGCGGCCAACGGCUGCUCGCAGGGCACGCUAAUGGUAUGGCUGGUCUGCGGCCCCAGCUUGUUUAGCACCCGGCUACCACAGCCGGCACGGGAGGCGCAGCUGCUGCAGGAGGCUUUAACGUCGCAGUGCACCUGCGCCACGCCGUUAUGCCAGGAAACCACGGUAGCCCACUCUUUAAUCAUUGUACUGCCUUGAAUUUAAUACUGUCAGAGAUACGC
rfam:Klebsiella pneumoniae subsp. pneumoniae MGH 78578, complete sequence.